rnacentral:rRNA from 1 species
CCAUCACUGACGNUCAUGGACGAAAGCCAGGGGAGCGAAAGGGAUUAGAUACCCCUGUAGUCCUGGCCGUAAACGAUGAACACUAGGUGUCGGGGGAAUCGACCCCCUCGGUGUCGUAGCCAACGCGUUAAGUGUUCCGCCUGGGGAGUACGCACGCAAGUGUGAAACUCAAAGGAAUUGACGGGGGCCCGCACAAGCGGUGGAGUAUGUGGUUUAAUUCGAUGCAACGCGAAGAACCUUACCAGGGUUUGACAUCCUGCGAAUCUCUUGGAAACAGGAGAGUGCCUUCGGGAACGCAGUGACAGGUGGUGCAUGGCUGUCGUCAGCUCGUGUCGUGAGAUGUUGGGUUAAGUCCCGCAACGAGCGCAACCCACGUCUUUAGUUGCCAGCAUUUAGUUGGGCACUCUAGAGAGACUGCCGGUGAUAAACCGGAGGAAGGUGUGGAUGACGUCAAGUCAUCAUGCCCCUUACAUCCUGGGCUACACACGUACUACAAUGCUACGGACAAAGGGCAGCAAGUUCGCGAGGACAAGCAAAUCCCAUAAACCGUGGCUCAGUUCAGAUCGUAGGCUGCAACUCGCCUACGUGAAGGCGGAAUCGCUAGUAAUCGCAGGUCAGCAUACUGCGGUGAAUACGUUCCCGGGCCUUGUACACACCGCCCGUCACACCAUGGAAGUUGGCCACGCCCGAAGCCGUUACUCCAACCCUUGUGGAGGAGGACGUCGAAGGUGGGGCUGAUGACUGGGGUGAAGUCGUAACAAGGUAACC